AGAAGAGAUCACUUACGCUGAACCAAAGUUCUACAAGAGAAACACGCAGAAAGCGGAAGUCAAACAGGAGGAUAAGACGGUGUACGCACAUAUCAAACGAAACACUGCUCAAACUGCUCUCUGAUGAUGUUGUGAUUGUAGACUGUUGACAUGCAUGCUAGAAAGACGGCUAUAAUGACAAAGCUGUUAAACAUGUGUUUACAUGAUGUUUCAGAGCACUGCUUUCUGCAAAAAGCCAGUAAGCCUUUUUUUAUGUAAACAGAGUCAUCUGUUAAUCUAUUUUACUUUUCUUUUUUUGUGUUUGUGUGGUGCAAUUCAAGUUUAUGUUCCAAGUGAUUUUUGAUUGAUUUGAUUGUGAUCCUUAACAUGUGUUUCAGUUAUAAUAGAGAUCAAACAUAAGCAAACAUAAGGCAUAUACCUCGAAAGAAAUGUGCAUUUCUUUGUUUUGGCAGACAUGUGCAUGAAGAUGUGUCUGUACUGGACGUCUGUGGUUAGUGUAUGCUAGUGUUUGCAUGUCUUGAGGUGCGAACAGCGUGUGUUUCAGUGAAUAGCAUGUAAAGGAUCUCCACAAUUUGCAUUACUCUUUAUGAAAAACUGUUUUACUGCAAAAAAAGUACAUAACUUAUGAAUGAUAAUAUUUGACAAAAUGUACAAAUAGCAAAAUAUAGGUUGUGAAAUAUAAGAUCAGCAUCGUAUGCAUCUGUCUAUCGCUGAUUUCUAUCGAUGGUUGACUUGCAUACUAAUGCAGUGUUAGUUUCAGCAGAAGUUACUUCCAGCUCCAGCAACACUUAGAAGACAUUUCUGAGAAGUUUCCACUAUUCUUGAUGUCACACAUAGAUAUCAAGAAUGUGUCAUGUUUGUCAGUUCACGUCGAGGACAAACGAGGUGAAUCAUUUUAAUGCACUUGCAAUGCACGAUUUACUACAAUUUGAAAUCGAUUGAAUUGAUUGCUAUAAGCAAUAAAAAAAAUAAAUAAUAAUAAUUAGUAUUGUAGAAACAUAUUCAACAGUUGCACUUUUCAUGGAUUGGCUUUCCUUCAGAGAUAAACAAUAAAA